AUCAGAGCCAGACAAAAAAUAAGAGGUAGAGAUCAGAGCCAGACAGAGGAAAGGCGUUCAACCUUACCUAACAGAGUUCCGUGACACUUUAGAACAACAGGCCCCAAAUCAUACAUUUCUUAAGUCUGUUUCUAAGCCGGCCCUGUAUCCCCAUGAGUUACUCAUGUGCAUGAUAUCCCUGCUCUUGUUCCACCCCUCUGGUGUCAUUUCUGGUAUUUCAAUGCUCAGGGGGAAGUAAGGGGCCUCUCAGAUACCCUCAUGUAUUCCAGAUAAACUGGGGGCUUUGAGGGAAGAGAAGAUACUGCCUUGCAUGACAGAAGCUGAUUUGUCACUGGCAGGCAGCAGCCUACCAAAAACUCUCCAUCCUUGGAACUCCUAUAAAAAUUUGAAAUCUAUCCUUCACUGUCUUAUCUUUCUUAUCACUGCGUCUCCUCCUCCCCCACUAGAAUUACAGUUUUGGUACCAAUGAGAAUAUGCCUCUGUAUAACUCUGGCUCAGUGCUUAAAAUAGUGUCAUGUACCGACUGGCUUUUAAGAAGUAGUUGGUUAAAAUCUUUAAUAAAUAGUCGUCGGAAGCAUGAAAAACAAUGAUAAUGCCAGAUUGGCAGUCCUGGUGUCCACCGUUCAUCUACGAGCAGACCGUCUUGCCCCCCAAGACUUUAUUUACACGGUGACAUGUAAAAGAAGGGUUACCCUGUCAGCUGGCGAGUGAAACACCAACUCAGAUAUUUCUGCUAACAGAACUGAUCUUGCCAACAGCUUAGAAUGAAUGCCUGAGUCAUUCCAAAGCCAUUCUGUCCUCAGAAAUGUUUAGAUUCCUACUUGGAUUCACCUUCAGUGCAUAAUAUCGUUGUCACACUGGCCCAACUCAACAGGUAUUUUGAUAAUCUGUCCAUAGUCCUUUGAAAUAAAUUUCACUAUUUCAAGGGUUAGGGGAGGAAAGAGAGCUGCUUUUCAAAUGCCUGAGCUUGUAGCAUUUUCAGUGCAAUGUUUCCUGAACAGCAAAUGACCUGAAAUAUCUCCACAUGGAUCACAGGAAACCUUUAACGAGACACUUCUCAAGAAAAUGGCACCCCAGAAACACAUACGUGUGUGAGGACACACACACCACUCACACACAAAACACUGUUUUAAUAGCCAAGGGCACUUUGGCACAAUGCGGGGCGGUGGUUGUCAACAUAAGCAGAUGGUCAAAGAAGUGGGCAAACACUUCGAGUGAACUAGUUCCAUAAAUGAAGGGUUUUUUUUAUUUCAUUUUAAAUGCCAUACUUACUUAACCAGCUUUCAGACAAGAUGAUACAUGUAGCCAGUUGGAAAGAGUUCCCUGCCAGGCUUCUGUGUUUUUAUGACAAAAUUAAAAGUCCACAGAUGGAAUAACUCAAAGCUAAUUCUUACAGAGUUUGUUUAGUUGGACUGGGGCAGGGGGAGAGAAUACCAUAUUGCUUCAAAUUAAAGCCAUCUCUACAAAAUGGGAGAUUUUUAAUUGGGGAGGAAAGAGUAGAAACAGCUUUCGAAAGAAAUAGCAAGUCUGUUUUUAAGGGAGUAGAAUUAUUUAUCCAUUAAAAUAGCAACCUCCCCCAAAGAGACUGAGGAGCAUCUAAAAAAUUCCUGAUUCCAAACACAAUCCCCAAACAUCUCAGCAUCCUCUCAAUCAGUUCUUUGAAAAAUAUCAGUUUGCCACUUCAGCUGCCUUCUAAAUAUAUAGUCUUCCCAUCGUGACUUCAUUAAGUUUCAAAACCCCAAAGAAAGAAUUGCGGGAAGGAAGGUGCUCAGAGGAAGCAUAGAGGAGGCCAGCUGUCUUGGCACUGUGCAGUCUAUGAAAGAUUUGUGACUUUGCUAGAGUACUUAGCUGGCUUCUUCAACGAGGAAAUAAAAUAGAACAGCUUUUUGCCAAACAUGGUGGCUUAUGUAUAAAAGCAUGAAAUGCAUUCAAUACUGAUUGUUGGAGAAAAAAGAAACGAAAAAGGAGGACCCAAAAUGAAGGAAAAUUCUACAUCAAAUGGAAUAUGUUCCCCUAUCCUUCAAUUAAAAAAGACUUAGGCAUGUAAAAUUCAAUAACAAAAACUAAACUCUGCAAAGAAAUUUUAUCUGCCCCUUUUUCUUUUUUGAUAAUUAAAAUUUUUUAUUAAAGUACAGUUGAUUUACAAUGUUGUGACAAUUUCUGCUGUAUAGCAAAGUGACCCAGUCAAACAUAUAUACACAUUCUUUUUCCUCAUAUUAUCAUCAUUUUCUAUCCCAUGAAAUUGGAUAAUGGCAGCUUUUUCAAUGUAGCAAAUACCCACUCAGAAGUCCAAAAGUAAAUUUUAAAAAUGCAAUCGAUAAAAUAAUUGGGUCUACAAAACAUAAAAGAUAUUGUUUCCAUUUUUUUGCCAAUUAACUGAUUUGGCUUGCUAUAAUUAACUUGCUGGUUUUGGGUAAAUCUAAGUAACUACAUUAUACGCAGGAAAUAAGUUUACACAUCAGCUUCUAUCGCUUUUCUAGAAAUAAAUGUACUUAUUUCCACAAAGGCAUUGUUUCACUGUCAAAGGCAGAGUGAGAAGAGUUCUCAACAACGGCAAAAACAAACAAACGAACAAACAAACGUACAACAUUUGCUGGGAAACAGCUGGUUUUCUUCUAGAAGGACCACUCCACUCUCCCAGACUGAUGGAGCCUGAGCAAGCUAACCAAUGCAUGAAAAAACCUGAAAUACCACAGUAGAUCUUUCUUCACUUCUUGGCAUCCAGCAAUUAAAGCCAAGGAUUCUUAAUGUUUGACACCCACAGAGACCUGGGAGAAUGGCAAGGACUACAUCCUAAAUUCUGUAUUACUCACUGAAGGAUUUACCUGUGACUUCAGUUUCUUUCAGAAGAAAACUGGCCUUGUUAUUCCUUGUUUUUCAUCUAUCUUUUAUUUUAGGAGUCCUUUCUAGCGACUUUGUUCCUUUUAGCCUACUUUUCCUAAGAAUCGCAGGAAGCAUCUUUGUGGCUAUGUGUCAUAUUUUAAAACAGGUCUGUUUCUUCAAAAUUUUUACCUACCAUUUAAGGAAAUCACCACAGGACUACCUGGAAAUUAGCAUUUAUCUUAACAAUAUGGACUCAUGAAAAUAAGUUGCAAUAUAUCACUUCCUAUUUGAAACGUGUUCUGCAGACAGGACUUUGCAGGAAAGGCAGACUUUGAAUAGGUUUUGAUUGUUGAAGAAGCAUCAGGUCUUCAAAUUCAAGAAGCCGUCUCUGUCUUAUGUGGCCCUUAACAGAAAUGUAGAUGACCUAGAGAAUGUGAAAGCCAGCGUUUUGGAUGCUUACAAGUAAAUGCCAUUGUCCAGGUAGAGCAGAUUUUAUGCUGUGAAAGUCAAAACUCGGCAUGUAAUACAUCUGACUCCUCAUUUAAAAUUAUUUGUUGAUGAAAACCAGAAGUCGCAAAUAUUACAUUACCACGUUUAGAAAGUUGAAGUCUCCUUGGGAUGCUAGAGGACCAGAUAUAUUGCAAAAAAAGAUGGAACUCAGUAGGAUACAGGGGAUUGUAUAUGACUUAGGAAGACAAAAACAAAUGGUUUAGUAGCAAGAGGAGGCCAAACAUUUUAUUUGCAAAUAGAGGGGAAAUGGAAGUUAUAGCAGAAUAAAAGCAAAUUAGAGACAUUGAGGUAGGCAAUACUACCACUAUGUACUUCCUCAGCAUAUUAGAAUAUAUAACAAGCAAUAUCCUUGUGAAGUCUUGAGGGAAUCCUUCUUCUGCAAUGGUCAAGAGUUUGUCUUUUAUUAAAGGGGAAUUUCUCCCAAAAUUCUAAUUAUUGAUAUAUGAAAAUAUUUCCCUGGACCAACAGGCUUGAGAAUUCCUGGGUUAAAGAGUUUUCUAAAUUUCAGGACUUCUUGAAGCGUUGAUAUAUGUAUGGGAAAAACAAACAAGACAAAACAACUCCCAGCAAGAGGCUUCUAUUUGACAUGAAAUCUUUUUAACCCAAUGUGAGACAUUAAUGUGCCACAGAAGCACUGAAAAGUGUCGGUUAUUACUCCCUUAUCUCGUUAGACUCCAUUCUAACCGAACUUUAGUCACCACCUGAUAGCAACCCUUAACAAUAUUAGAGUUUCCUUUCACAGAUAAUUUGUUUCUUCGGUUUCAGAUCCUGCAAUUGCAUGCAAUGACAGACAACCCUUUCCCCAGGUGACAUAAGGUUUAAGGAGAAAGCAGGAGAGAGAGUAGAAGUUAGACCACCUACCUUGACAAUCCCCUUGAGCUUUACCGCUGUGCAGCCUUUAAUCUCCUUCUCAUAGAGGGGCUCACAUUAUGUGAGAUGGUGCUAGAGUCUAUACACUUCCUUUGACACACCUCAGAUUUAUGUUCAGAGAGGAAAAAUAUUAUCUCAACAGGAACACAAAUAGGACGCCAGAAAAUACUUUUCCUAGCUAGAGCUAGAUAAUUCCUGUAAAGACAUUCUAGAAUAAAAGUUCCGUGCAGUCUGGGACUUUGUAUACCACUGCCUCUACCGUGUCCAGAACAGGGGUUGGUACCUAGUAGAAACUUGAUAAAUAUUUGUGGAAUAUUGAUUGAAAGAAUGAAUCUAAAGUAUUUAAUUAAAAUAUUAUAGUACAAAAAUCAUCGUUUAUAUUUGGCUCUAAGACUCCUUUGCCAGUUAAGUAGAUCAUAGAGAAAUAUUUAGCUUCUGUCUAUAGUGAUGCUAUUGGCACCCAUUAUUGAGAAGCACUUUAUUAUUUUUCCUUGGCAUAAACACAUCCAUUAGAAUGAUGAGUGAAGUGCUCAUUAGUCAACCUGAACACUCAAAGUGGUGGAGGUUAGCUCACUCAAAGCCUGACCUUUCCAAACAUUUUGCUUCUU
rnacentral:lncRNA from 1 species